rnacentral:rRNA from 1 species
CGCAGCCGCGGUAAUUCCAGCUCCAAUAGCGUAUAUUAAAGUUGUUGCAGUUAAAAAGCUCGUAGUUGAAUUUCGGGAUCAAUAUGUCGGUCGUGCCUUCGGUACGUACUGGUAUCAUUGGUCUCUCCUUUCUGACGAACCAUGAUGUCAUUAAUUUGGUGUUAUGGGGAGUUAGGACUGUUACUUUGAAAAAAUUAGAGUGUUUAAAGCAGGCUUUAGCUUGAAUACAUUAGCAUGGAAUAAUGAAAUAGGACGUUCGAACCUAUUUUGUUGGUUUCUAGGAUCAACGUAAUGAUUAAUAGGGAUAGUUGGGGGCAUUAGUAUUCAAUUGUCAGAGGUGAAAUUCUUGGAUUUAUUGAAGACUAACUACUGCGAAAGCAUUUGCCAAGGAUGUUUUCAUUAAUCAAGAACGAAAGUUAGGGAUCGAAGACGAUCAGAUACCGUCGUAGUCUUAACCAUAAACCUAUGCCGACUAGGGAUCGGGAUGAUGUUAAUUUUUAANGUACUNAUUCGGCNCUUA